rnacentral:rRNA from 1 species
GGGAUAGAAUUCCAGGAGUAGCGGUGAAAUGCGUAGAUAUCUGGAGGAAUACCAAAGGCGAAGGCAGUCCCCUGGUCCGAUACUGGCACUGAGGUACGAAAGCGUGGGGAGCAAACAGGAUUAGUUACCCUGGUAGUCCACGCCCUAAACGAUGUCGAUUAGCCAUUGGAAGGACCCCUUUUCCUUUCAGUGACGUAGCUAACGCGUUAAAUCGACCGCCUGGGAAGUACGACCGCAAGGUUAAAACUCAAAGGAAUUGACGGGGACCUGAACAAGCGGUGAAUGAUGUGGAUUAAUUCGAUGCUACGCGAAGAACCUUACCUACCUUUGACAUGGCCAAAGUUCUACCGAGAGGCGGAAGUACUCGUAAGAGGAUUGGCGCACAGGUGCUGCAUGGUUGUCGUCAGUUCGUGUCGUGAGAUGUUGGGUUCAGUCCCGCAACGAACGCAACCCUUAUCUUUAAUUGCUCCUAUUUUAACAGGCACUUUAAAGAAACUGCCAAUGAUAAGUUGGAGGAAGGUGGGGAUCACGUCAAGUCCGCAUGGCCUUUAUAGGUAGGGCUUCACACGUCAUACAAUGGUUAGAACAAAGAGCUGCAAAUUCGUAAGAAGGAGCCAAUCUCACAAACCUAACCUCAGUUCGAAUUGCGGUCUGCAACUCGAGCGCAUGAAGCCGGAAUCGCUAGUAAUCGUGGAUCAGAAUGCCACGGUGAAUACGUUCUUAGGUCUU